CAGGGGACUGGUCAUGGCUUUUUUCUUGAACCCGAAUAAAGUGGUUUAAUCUUUCAUACAAACUAUAGGGCCUCUGCUGUGCAGUAAAAGCUGAAGUGAAAAGAGAUUAUUCUGUAUACAUGUCACUUAGAAUGCAUCGCAGAUCUCAGGACUGAAGAGACUUCCACUAGAAGGCAAAACUGAAACUGAGUAAUGGAGAAGCACAAGGUAAAAUAAAAGUGCAAAAUAGAGACAUUAUUUCCACUCUUUGUAACCCUAUGAAAUACUGUUUACCAUUGUGAAUUUAUCAUGGAGACUGGAAGAGGUUACCCAGCCAUUUUGUUGAAACAGGUGCCUCGACUGCUUGCAAGAAUGAGAUCCACAGAUCAAUUAGCAGCUAGCAACCAAUUGACUUCCUAAGCUAGACUUGCUGAAUGGCCUCCUUUCAAUUGUAAGUUGUGUUCUUAUCAUAGUAUUGUGAACUUUCACAGUGGUUUUACCUUACUUUUGCUCUUCUCUACAGUUUACAUGUCUUAACCGUUCUUUCUUAUACCAGACCACAGGAUUACCAUUGUGUACUAUGACAAAUGUGCAGUAGGAACAUGUAUUAUGAACGAUAUAUCAUGAUACGUGUGUGGGUCAAUGUAUGAAUUAAGAUUGAAGGUAUUGUAUAUUAAAAAAUAUAGGAAACCACAGCAUAACUAAGGCAUACUGUACCAAUAGUAAAAGCAUUUACAGUACCACAAUGAUAUGUUAGCUGUGGCAAGAAUUUAUUGGGAUGGCACAAUUCUGUUUACAGAUUUAACAAAAACAUGAUUCUCAAAAGUUAGUGUAUUUAAUCUGUUAAAAAUAAAUGCAGGCAGAUGAUUAUAGAUAUAAAGUAAAGAUGGACGAAUUGAUCUAAAAUAGGUGUAACCUAGUUGCAUAAAAAAUAAAUACAUAGAAUAUAUAUACAGUAUAUACUGCACUGUAGCUAGCUUUACUUCACUAGGACACACAUACAUUAAAGCCUAUUUCAUCAUAACUAAUCCAAUUUCAAAACUUGUUUAAAUUCAUUGAAAAGAGAGACUGUAAAUGCAUUUCUCGCAGCAUGAAAACAAAGGAUUUAAGAAAAAAAAUGAAGAGCAUACAAUAACUUUUUUCCAAUAUGCACAUAUCUACACUUAUCUGCAUUUAGAUUAAAAUAUGACACAACGAUUAAAGACUAUGGUAUGCACUAUGAAAAACAAUGAUAAACUGUUAUGGGAAGAUUUGCAGUGUUGAUUGAUAGCUUGUGUUCCAAAAUGUGUCCUUCAGCAAAUAUACAGAAAUAUAUCCAUUUUGUCUUGUCUUCCCUAGCUCUCCAUUUGUUAACACUGGUGUCAUCUGCAGAACACAACGUCUGUCCUUGAAUCUAUCUACAGUAGUUCUCAUAAGAAAUAGAUUUCUGGGAUACAGCAUUUUUGAGAACAAGUCACUAUGAAUAAUGGAACAUAUGAAUACUAAUUAAAAGACAAUUUCACAACCCUAGAAAGCAGAACUGCCUAAAGAGACUUAUUUCUACCAUACUGUGUAUAUAAAGCUAAUUUCUAUCUGUGCAUUUAAGUAUUUAAAGAAAGCUGAACUAUAAUAAAACUCUGUUACUCUGCCUUUCUCACUUCAACCUUUCAAUUAAAAACUAUAUCCCCUUCAGCUAUUCUUCAGAGAACAAUUUCCAGUCUGAGACUUCAGAAACCAGUGAAGGCUCCCCGCAUCAAUCUAAGUGAUGUUAAAUAUCAAUAUUAUUGUGUGUUGUUACUUUCUUUUUAUAUCCUGUAUUGCUGAUUAAAUAUAAUGAGCCUCUAGGCAGGUCAAUAGACUCACUCCGUCUCAUGAAUCACAAACUGUAGCUGGCUGGAGGAGAGUAAGGCAGAUUACCAUUACUAUCCUUCCCUGGCCCUAACAAUCCCCAGAUCUCAAAAUAAUUUGACACUUAUUAUUGUGAGGUGGAGCCUAAUGGUACAAUCCUGUGCAGUAUUCUCCUCAUCACAUCUUGAAUCGAAUGAGAUUGGGUAGAAAAAUUGUCUGGAAUUGGGAUGAGCAUAUUAUACUGUAUGUGUCCUUUUCAAGUGGUUCUUUCUGUUUGUUUAGGACCAACAUGUUGCUUGAAGAGGUAUUGUUUUCAUAUUUAUGAAAUAUUUCCAUGUGCAGUUUGUAUGUUUUCCCUGUGUUCAUGUAGGUUUCCUCUAGGCACUCCGAUUUUCUCCCACAAAUCACUGAGUACUGGUAGGUAAAUUGGCUUUUGGGAAAACUUUCCCUCACGUCUGUGUGCACACGUCCCAUCCAGGGAAUAUCCCUCCUUAUGUCUAUUUCUUGCUGAGAUAGGCUCUGGCUCCCCCGUGACCCUAAAUUGGAUGAAGCAGUUAGAAAAUGGAUGGAUGAAAAUAUUAAAAUGUGGGAAUGGUGUUGCAAUUGUGGUAAUUCGAUUGAAAGAUUGAUAUUCUAUGGGAAGACAAAAGCUUGUACAAGGCGAAUGUGAUUUUUGAAUUUGCUGUGGCAUCAUGAGCUGACUCGUGCAGUGUAUGCUAAGAUUCCAUCACCACUUUGACACUCUAACUAGGUGCUGAACUAUAGGUGUGUUUUAUUGCAUUAUUAUUUCUUGUAUGAAAUAGCUCUAUAUAAUGUAAUUUUAUUAUUGUGAGAUGUUCACUUAUGUAUCUCUGUCACUCUCCGAAUAACUAUAUAUUUUAAGAAAGUGUUCAAGUUCAUUCAUAGAGUAUGUGCAGAUAAAUCCUCUAGUUUUCUAAAAAAAAUAUUUUUCACUUCACGUCUGCAUUUUCUUAUUUCACCCUAGAGUCAACAGAUGCCACUGGUAAAUAUACUAUAGGGGUGAUGAUCUCCAGCAUUCCAAGUAUAGCAGAUUUGACAAUCUACAGCAUACACCGAAAAGCUAUGCAUUUGCAAGAAAAUAAAUCACUCCGAAGCUGAAUACUGAAAUGAAUUAAAACUCAAGUCAAAUUGCUUGAAAACGGUGUAAAAGAAAUGGUGUUAAUCCAUUAGUAGAGGAUAUCAAUCUCUCCUGUUUUCCUGUGGAAGGUGAUUGGGUUUAUGUUGGCACUGUAACUGCAAAAUGUGUUUUAAUGUCCUUUUUAAUAAUAUAGUUUUUCAAUGUCCUAUCUUUGCAUUUGACAUAACAGCAUACACAGAGAAACAGGAAAAAAAAAUACUCAUAAGACAUAACUUCACACUUAGAAAAUAAAUGUAUCUAACUACUGUACAUUCACAUUAAAAUACUGUAUAUGCAGCAUUCUACAAACAUUUUUUCCCAAACCCUGCAGCACUGUGUCCACUAAAUAUCCUGUUGAUUUUAAAACUGUGAUUUUAAUAGGAUGGUUGCAAUGCAGAUAGAAUAACAAGCUGUCUUAUUAAACUUUUUUUCUCACUUAAGAGUGCUCUGUUUUGAGUACUAUAUUAGAAUAUCUUUGAUGUCAGUGCAUUAAAAGAUACUCCACAUUUCUCUCAAUUAUAAUUUACCCUUUUUCAUUUUAAAGUACCAAUUGAUCUUUAAAAUGGAUAUCAAUUUACAGCAUCAAGAAGGAAACAUGAUUGGAGUAUAUAAAAAGAUAUUCACAUAAUAUAACUCACAAGAAUAAAAUAAUAAUAAAUGUAACACACUUACACAUAUGUAGCUUCAUAUAUACAGGUUCAUGUAUUUAAUAACAGACCUUAUUAAGGAAGGGUCCUAGUCAAUUUUCUUAUCAUUUGAAAUUCAUAAUAUUCUUCAGUUCAUCAUGCAUAUAGUGUAGUUAAUUCACUAUAUUGUUUGUAAAUUCCCAAACUACUUUUUAUCGAAAGUCAAUUUAAGUUAACUUAAAAAGGUUUUCUUAAAUCAUGUUCAAAAUUCUUUCUUUCUCAAAACAUUAUUCUUUAAACUGAUCACCUACAAUUCUUUUUAGGAAAUAGGUUAGUUAUGCAUAUAAUAAGUCAUCAUAAUUAAUGCAUUUUAUAUUGCUGCCAGUAGAUUUGUAAUACUAGUAUUUAAAUUAUUUUCAUGUUAUGUCUGACCAAAUAGAACUCGUUUAUUAUUUUGUGGGCACGUACUGUAUACUGAAUGGGGUUUUCUCCAACAUAACUGGUUAUGUCCUUCUCAAGACCUAAAAAUAUUUGAGCACAAAAUGUUAUCUUAUUUACGUGCAAGAACUGACUUUAUUUGCUUACAAUUUUGUUAUAAGAAAAGAGCUUCAGCUAUUGUACAAACUGGAUAUAAGACUAGUAUUCAUAGUAAUCCUUUAAUUCAACUGGUAGGCCAAUUACAUGUUAUUAGACCUGGAAAAAAUGUAUAUAAAUUAAUCUUCAUUUGAUUUCUAAUAAAGAAAGUCAUGAAAAUGUAUAUACUGUAC